rnacentral:rRNA from 1 species
GAGGUAUCAGAAGUGCGAAUGCUGACAUAAGUAACGAUAAAGCGGGUGAAAAGCCCGCUCGCCGGAAGACCAAGGGUUCCUGUCCAACGUUAAUCGGGGCAGGGUGAGUCGACCCCUAAGGCGAGGCCGAAAGGCGUAGUCGAUGGGAAACGGGUUAAUAUUCCCGUACUUGGUGUUACUGCGAAGGGGGGACGGAGAAGGCUAUGUUGGCCGGGCGACGGUUGUCCCGGUUUAAGCGUGUAGGUGUGUGUUCCAGGUAAAUCCGGUUCACUUUAACACUGAGGCGUGACGACGAGGCACUACGGUGCUGAAGCAACAAAUGCCCUGCUUCCAGGAAAAGCCUCUAAGCAUCAGGUAACAUCAAAUCGUACCCCAAACCGACACAGGUGGUCAGGUAGAGAAUACCAAGGCGCUUGAGAGAACUCGGGUGAAGGAACUAGGCAAAAUGGUGCCGUAACUUCGGGAGAAGGCACGCUGACACGUAGGUGAAGUGAUUUACUCAUGGAGCUGAAGUCAGUCGAAGAUACCAGCUGGCUGCAACUGUUUAUUAAAAACACAGCACUGUGCAAACACGAAAGUGGACGUAUACGGUGUGACGCCUGCCCGGUGCCGGAAGGUUAAUUGAUGGGGUCAGCGCAAGCGAAGCUCCUGAUCGAAGCCCCGGUAAACGGCGGCCGUAACUAUAACGGUCCUAAGGUAGCGAAAUUCCUUGUCGGGUAAGUUCCGACCUGCACGAAUGGCGUAAUGAUGGCCAGGCUGUCUCCACCCGAGACUCAGUGAAAUUGAACUCGCUGUGAAGAUGCAGUGUACCCGCGGCAAGACGGAAAGACCCCGUGAACCUUUACUAUAGCUUGACACUGAACAUUGAGCCUUGAUGUGUAGGAUAGGUGGGAGGCUUUGAAGUGUGGACGCCAGUCUGCAUGGAGCCGACCUUGAAAUACCACCCUUUAAUGUUUGAUGUUCUAACGUGGACCCGUUACCCGGGUUGCGGACAGUGUCUGGUGGGUAGUUUGACUGGGGCGGUCUCCUCCUAAAGAGUAACGGAGGAGCACGAAGGUUGGCUAAUCCUGGUCGGACAUCAGGAGGUUAGUGCAAUGGCAUAAGCCAGCUUGACUGCGAGCGUGACGGCGCGAGCAGGUGCGAAAGCAGGUCAUAGUGAUCCGGUGGUUCUGAAUGGAAGGGCCAUCGCUCAACGGAUAAAAGGUACUCCGGGGAUAACAGGCUGAUACCGCCCAAGAGUUCAUAUCGACGGCGGUGUUUGGCACCUCGAUGUCGGCUCAUCACAUCCUGGGGCUGAAGUAGGUCCCAAGGGUAUGGCUGUUCGCCAUUUAAAGUGGUACGCGAGCUGGGUUUAGAACGUCGUGAGACAGUUCGGUCCCUAUCUGCCGUGGGCGCUGGAGAACUGAGGGGGGCUGCUCCUAGUACGAGAGGACCGGAGUGGACGCAUCACUGGUGUUCGGGUUGUCAUGCCAAUGGCACUGCCCGGUAGCUAAAUGCGGAAGAGAUAAGUGCUGAAAGCAUCUAAGCACGAAACUUGCCCCGA